AUUGAACGCUGGCGGCAGGCCUAACACAUGCAAGUCGGACGAGUGGCGGACGGGUGAGUAACGUCUCGGAAACUGCCUGAUGGAGGGGGAUAACUAUUGGAAACGGUAGCUAAUACCGCAUACUAUCCGAUGUGCCCAGAUGGGAUUAGCUAGUAGGCGGGGUAAAGGCUCACCUAGGCGACGAUCCCUAGCUGGUCUGAGAGGAUGAUCAGCCACACGGGGACUGAGACACGGUCCAGACUCCUACGGGAGGCAGCAGUGGGGAAUAUUGGACAAUGGGCGCAAGCCUGAUGCAGCCAUGCCGCGUGUCUGAAGAAGGCCUUCGGGUUGUAAAGGACUUUCGGCGGGGAAGCGGUACCUGAAGAAGAAGCACCGGCUAACUACGUGCCAGCAGCCGCGGUAAUAC
rnacentral:rRNA from 1 species